AAUAUCAGAGAAGGACAUAGGCUUGGCGAAAACAGGAUGAGCCAGUUAUCUAUCGAUUUUGAAGAUAGACUCCGAAAACUUGAAAGUGAACGCUGUGAACUUUGAAUAAGCAAACAUCGCAAACUUUGAUCAUUGAGAAUUUAGAACGAGAAAUUGACCAGUAUCGAAAGAGCCUUGUCCAGUCUCAGCAAGACCUCACGGAGCAAAAAGCUCUUUAUAAUCAUAUGAAACUAGCACAUGAGCAAGCUGAGCGAGCUCUUAGAGAUUGUCAUAGUAAUCAAGGCCACUUGAACAAAGAGCUUUCUGCCAACCUAGAUAGAAUUCAAGCCUUAGAAAGUGAAGUUACCACUUUAGAUAGAGAAUUGCAAAAUGUAAAAAUUGAGAGGAAUACUCUUCGCACCAAUUUAAAACAACUAGACCAACAAAAAGAUUUCUUACUGUGUAAAUUAGAUGACAAAACUGAAAGAAUCGCAUCCAUGGAAAAGGAAAUUAUGAAGAAUGAAACCGUAUUGCGGCAGUACGAGACUACUAUCGCAGAACUUCAUGCCAAAUACAACUUUCAGAGAAUCAUCGCUCCUGUGAUUGCGCGCCUCGUUCUC
rnacentral:lncRNA from 1 species